UACGGAGGGUGCGAGCGUUGUCCGGAAUCAUUGGGCGUAAAGGGCGCGUAGGUGGCGGGACAAGCGUGCGGUGAAAGCCUGGGGCUCAACCCCGGGUCGGCCGUGCGAACUGUUUUGCUUGAGCACUGUAGAGGCAGGCGGAAUUCCGGGUGUAGCGGUGAAAUGCGUAGAUAUCAGGAGGAACACCGGUGGCGAAGGCGGCUACCUGGACAGAAACUGACGCUGAGGCACGAAAGCUAGGGGAGCAAACAGG
rnacentral:rRNA from 1 species